rnacentral:rRNA from 1 species
UACCCGCUGAAUUUAAGCAUAUGAGUAAGCGGAGGACAAGAAACUAAACAGGAUUCUAUCAGUAAUGGCGAGUGAAGAGAGAAGAGCUCACUUUGGAAAUUGGGGCUUCUGUGGCCUUGAAUUGUAAUCUCGAAGUGUGCUGCCAGUGGAGGUGCAGAUGCUGACCUCUUGGAAGAGAGCAUCAGUGAGGGUGAGAGUCCUGUCUGUCUUCUGCAGCUCUCCGCACACGGUGUGCGUUCUGCGAGUCAUGCUCCUUGGAAGUGGAGCGUAAAGAAGGUGGUAAAUUUCAUCUCAAGCAGAAUAUUUGGUUGAGACCGAUAGAGAACAAGUAUCGUGAGGGAAAGAUGAAAAGGACUUUGAAAAGAGAGUUAGAAGUGCCUGAAAUUGCUGAAGAUGAAGAGAAUGGAAUUAGCACAGUCUUGCGAGAUUGUCACGUGGUAAAGUGCACCAGCAACAUGUGUUGCUUCUCGCCUGGUGCGUCCGUUCCAGCUUGCAAUUGAGGAAACUGCUGGGGAUGUGAUGCUCAGCCUGCAGGCGGGCAGAUGUUCUCUGCACAACUCACUCGUUCGCGAACUGAAGCUUGACUGUCCGGUCGCAGCACCUGGGAUCUGUAAUGUGCCUGUCGGCGCGUGCUGCCUGGAUUGUUCCUGGUAUCGGGACGAUGAACUGGUUCCUUUCAACCCGUCUUGAAACACGGACCAAGGAGUUUCAUGUGUGUGUGAGCCCACGGGCGGUGAAUGCCCGCCGGCGUAGUGAAAGCGACUGCUGGGAUAUGUGCGUCAGCAGCCAACCUCUUAAUUGAGACAGGCUUGAGAUGGAGCACAUAUGUGAGGACCCGAAAGAUGGUGAACUAUGCUUGAGAAGGGCAAAGU